GAAUAUUGGACAAUGGGGGGAACCCUGAUCCAGCCAUGCCGCGUGUGUGAAGAAGGCCUUUUGUUGGUAAAGCACUUUAAGCGAGGAGGAGGCUACUCUAGUUAAUACCUCGAGAUAGUGGAAGUUACUCGCAGAAUAAGCACCGCAUAACUCUGUGCGAGCAGCCGCGGUAAUACCGAGGGUGCAAGCGUUAAUCGGAUUUACUGGGCGUAAAGCGCGCGUAGGUGGCCAAUUUAGUCAAAUGUGAAAUCCCCGAGCUUAACUUGGGAAUUGCAUUCGAUACUGGUUGGCUAGAGUAUGGGAGAGGAUGGUAGAAUUCCAGGUGUAGCGGUGAAAUGCGUAGAGAUCUGGAGGAAUACCGAUGGCGAAGGCAGCCAUCUGGCCUAAUACUGACACUGAGGUGCGAAAGCAUGGGGAGCAAACA
rnacentral:rRNA from 1 species